UAGUGGACAUUUGUGUUAUUUUAUAAACAAUGUUCAAUUUUUUAUUAGUUAAUGUUUUUGUAUAUUAUUUGAAAUUCAAGAUCAACUUAACCUCAAGAUUAAUUUCCUAGAUUGAGAGAGAAAUUUUAUUAAUGCAAUGAAGUUGUAAGUUGCGGGAUGCGCGAUGCGGUGGUCAAACGGCGGUGCGGGGGGCGGCUAGCAUGGCGGCGCUGCU